rnacentral:rRNA from 1 species
GAUGAACGCUAGCGGGAGGCUUAACACAUGCAAGUCGAGGGGUAACAGAGUAGUUUACUAUUGCUGACGACCGGCGGACGGGUGCGUAACGCGUAUGCAACUUACCUAUUACUAGUGGAUACCCUUUGGAAACGAAGAAUAAUACACUAUGUGCUUGGUUAGCGAAUGUUAAUUAAAGUAAAGGUUACGGUAAUAGAUGGGCAUGCGUCAGAUUAGUUAGAUGGUGGGGUAACGGCUCACCAUGGCGAUGAUCUGUAGGGGGCCUGAGAGGGCGAACCCCCACACUGGUACUGAGACACGGACCAGACUCCUACGGGAGGCAGCAGUGAGGAAUAUUGGACAAUGGAGGGAACUCUGAUCCAGCCAUCCCGCGUGCAGGAAGACGGCCUUAUGGGUUGUAAACUGCUUUUUAUAUAGGAAUAAACGUAUUUUCGUGAAGAUAUUUGAAUGUACUAUAUGAAUAAGCACCGGCUAACUCCGUGCCAGCAGCCGCUGUAAG